AGGAGUUUAGGUUAAAUAAGACCAAGAGCCUUCAAAGCCCUAAGCAAGUAUGAUCUACUUAACCCCUG
rnacentral:tRNA from 1 species